GGAUGUUCCAGAUACAGAAAACCGUCAAACCAUUUACAACAAAGUCCGUUUCUGAACCAUACGAUGAGACUGUUUUGAUGAGGAAUUGAAAGAUUAUGUGUCCCAUCCAUUUGACUCACAGUUUGGUACCAUAGGUUGGUACGAUCUUCGUUGGAGAAGGAAAAGGGAUGUUCCAGAUACAGAAAAUCGUCAAACCAUUUACGACAAAGUCCGUUUCUGGGUGGAGUUAGUGGAACCGAAAAAGAUGUCUCCCUCACAGUGUUUGUGACAAAAGAAUUGCAUCGUUCCUUGGCGGCCUUUCAACAGAAUAUUCAGAGAUUUCCCGAGUGGGAAGAAUGACACAAUCAUCGCCUUGGAAGCUUCAUCACGAUACUACUUUGCAUUUCUGAAGAGGGAAGAAGAAAUCAACAUGCAAAUUCAAUUCCAUGGUUUUGGAAGUCCCAUUGAGAACACGAUUCAUUUGCGCCGGCAUAAUGCUCUGACCGAGAAAGAAUUGAAGCUUCCGCUUGGAAGAAAGAUUCACAUCAAGUUGACUGGUCAAGUAAAUGGGACACUGACUAACCAUACAAUUAGACUGUUUUGAUGAGGAACUUAAAGAUUACGAGUCCCGUCCGUUUGACUCAGAGUUUGGUACCAUAGGUUGGUACGACCUUCGUUGGAGAAGGAAAAGGGAUGUUCCAGAUACAGAAAAUAGUCAAACCAUUUACUACAAAGUCCGUUUCUGGGUGGAGUUAGUGGAACCGAAAAAGAUGUCUCCCUCACAGCGUUUGUGACAAAAGAGUUGCAUUGUUCCUUGGCGGCCUUUCAACAGAAGAAUAUUCAGAGAUUUCACGAGUGAUUCUGAUGUUGGUUCCUGGAAAGCCUCCAUUGUUGGAGGACGAGAAGCCGUAUCCAAUUGAAGCAGCACGGGCUUCUGCGAUGACUGUGGAAACCACUGCUUAUGCCUUGCUUCAAGCAUUGUCAAGGAAUGAUAUUGACUAUGCAACACCGAUUGCGAGGUGGCUAACGAUGCAACAGAACGAUGGUGGUGGAUUUCACUCGACGCAGGUAAAUGCUUGAGAUCACAACAACAGGCAUUCAGAUAUUUCCAUUGAUCAUGUUACU